AUUGAACGCUGGCGGCAGGCCUAACACAUGCAAGUCGAACGGUAACAGAUGAUAGCUUGCUAUCAUGCUGACGAACGGCGGACGGGUGAGUAAUGCCUGGGAAUAUGCCCUGAUGUGGGGGAUAACUAUUGGAAACGAUAGCUAAUACCGCAUAAUCUCUUCGGAGCAAAGAGGGGGACCUUCGGGCCUCUCGCGUCAGGAUUAGCCCAGGUGGGAUUAGCUUGUUGGUGGGGUAAUGGCUCACCAAGGCAACGAUCCCUAGCUGGUCUGAGAGGAUGAUCAGCCACACUGGAACUGAGACACGGUCCAGACUCCUACGGGAGGCAGCAGUGGGGAAUAUUGCACAAUGGGGGAAACCCUGAUGCAGCCAUGCCGCGUGUAUGAAGAAGGCCUACGGGUUGUAAAGUACUUUCAGUUGUGAGGAAGGCAGUGAAGUUAAUAGCUUCACUGUUUGACGUUAGCAACAGAAGAAGCACCGGCUAACUCCGUGCCAGCAGCCGCGGUAAU
rnacentral:rRNA from 1 species